AACGUAGGAGACAAACGUUAUCCGGAGUUACUGGGCGUAAAGGGCGUGUAGGCGGUACGUUAAGUCUGGCGUGAAAGCUCUCGGCUAAACCGGGAGAGGUCGUUGGGUACUGGCAAACUAGAGGACGGUAGAGGCGUGUGGAAUUCCGGGUGUAGUGGUGAAAUGCGUAGAGAUCCGGAGGAACACCAGUGGCGAAGGCGACACGCUGGGCCGUACCUGACGCUAAAGCGCGACAGCAUGGGGAGCAAACGGG
rnacentral:rRNA from 1 species